ensembl:lncRNA
CGAGCCGCGGGGACGAGCAGCUCGACCCCUGCUGCGCUCGAGCCCCCAGGUGUGCCACGGCGCGUGGAGUACAAGCAGGCCCCACAGAGGAGGGAAGGACCUGAGGAAGAGUGGACGCAUUGUCAGAAAAGCCUGAUAAAAGAGAGGAGCCAAACAAAGACACUUAACCUGAGUAACCUGAAGCACAAUUGGCUCUCAGAGUUGCAGCAAGUUAUGCAAAUUUGUCUCUGCUGUCUUUCAAACACGCCGAAUGUGAGUUUUGGAAGCCAAAUCCACCAGAAGAUGAAAUCUUUGUUCAUGUUGCAUUAAGUCUCAACUUCUCUUUGAGCUCUAUGUUUG